ACCGCAGCAUCGAUUCUAACAGGAAAAGAAGAUAAGCAGCUGAAACAAGAAAGUUCACUCCUACACAAGUCCGUCUUCGCUUCUGCUUCUGUUUCUGUUUGUGGGAUGUGUGAGUCAGUGAGUGACGAUGACACACCGAGUACGUCGGAUGCCCUUCCUGACACAACCCUCUGCAUUUAUCCAGACUUGGGACUGGCACAAGAAGACACUGGCUUGUGCCCCCUUGUGGUUGCAUUAGAGCUACAUUCAUGUUUUAGAAUCGCCCCUGGUGAUAAAAGACUUCAAAUUAAAAUCUCCGACUGUGCAGGGACAGAUUCAUAAGUGUCCUUUAUAAAUCUACAACCUGAGUGAUGUGAGAUCAGAUUUCAUUGUGCUCAAAAUCAGGAUUUCACCAAAAAUCUAAUCAGCCUGUCCCUGUGCCAGUGCAAAUAACUAACUUUUCAAGUUUACUAAACAGGAGCAGUUUACACUGCUUCGCCCCCAUCAGAGUGCACUUCAGAGGACAACACAGAUCCAGCAUUUGCAGGAUGUGAUACUGCACACAGUGUGUAUCUUAAAAAUGUACAUUGUUACAAAUAAAACAGGCUGUUGUACAAUUUCA